rnacentral:rRNA from 1 species
UACGUAGGGACCAAGCGUUGUUCGGAUUUACUGGGCGUAAAGGGCGCGUAGGCGGCGCGGUAAGUCACUUGUGAAAUCUCUGAGCUUAACUCAGAACGGCCAAGUGAUACUGCAGUGCUAGAGUGUGGAAGGGGCAAUCGGAAUUCUUGGUGUAGCGGUGAAACGCGUAGAUAUCAAGAGGAACACCUGAGGUGAAGACGGGUUGCUGGGCCAACACUGACGCUGAUGCGCGAAAGCCAGGGGAGCAAACGGG